CAUAUCAUGUUAAAACACCGGUUCCUGUACGAUCACCGAAGUUAAGCAACGUCAAGCCUGGUCACUAACUAGAUAGUUAACCGUUUCGGAAUACCAGGUGCUGUAAG